rnacentral:tRNA from 1 species
GCCUUCGUGGUGUAGUGGUCAGCACACUGGGCGCAUAUUGGAGAAGUCCGUGGUUCGAGUCCCGGCGAGAGCA